GUUUUAUCCCAGAGACUCUGGAGUGGGAUCUUGCAAUCUAUAUUCUAACUGGCUUGAACUUCUUGCAUGAACUAAGAAAGGUUACCUUCAGAAGCUCCAAAUUUUAAGGCAUCCCACUGCCAUCAAAUCCAAAAGCAACUAAAGCAUUGUUAUAUGAUUUUGAAUUAUAACCUAUUUGUUAAAAUAGCUCCCAUUUCCCCUAAGGACAACCUGCAUUUCCACCUCAGUUUAGUGCAUUGUCUCAUUUUUGGGUCUCAACAGGGUUGGGAACUCAAACGAAUGAAUAUAGUUCUCAGAUGUAGUGAAUGAUAAUGUGGUGGUGGAAGAAGAGAGGGUACCAAUUUUAGUGACCUUCAGUAGAGCAGUGGAAAGAAAUCGGUGUAAAGCCCAGGACUAACGGAAAAGUGAAAUCAGUGAUGACUGCUUUAUCUUGAACCCUCUUAUGAUUUUAUCUACCUUGAAUAUGCUGAUAUAUUAUAUGAUACCCAAGUUACACUACAACUUACAAUGGGACUAAUUUCCACUUCCCCCUAAGAUCCACAUUUCACCCCCACUCACUAAAGGUAAACACUGAAGCCAAAUGGUCCUUGAUUUGGGAUCCUUGAGUUUGUUUGCUCUGCCAUCACCAUCUGACCCCGCUGCCCAGUAGCACCAUUCCAGAGGGAAGUUGCCUCUAAGGACUGACUAGUAAAUCUCUCAAAAUUAUUUGCAGAAAGGCCUAAGAACACCAAUCAGCAACAAACCCCCCCACACACUUUAAAACACCAUUCACAGCUGCAUGUUUCCUUCAUUUUCCCAUCUCAAGUACAGCCAAGGCAUCUUGCAGGUUAGCAGACGCUACUCAUUUAAGAAAGUAUGAAGCAAAAUGUUACCCUCCUCAUUUUCAGUGCAAAACAAAAUGAAGUGGAACCAUUUGCCUGUGGUGAGUGAGGCAAGGGUAGAGGGCUGGAAUGCAGGACUUGAUUCCUUAUUCCCUACUUCUAACCACAUCCUCUCCACUCUGGGAUAUGUAAGUUGGUUAUUACACUGGGGACAGGAAUGAGGAAGGGGAUGGUUUCCUUUUAUGCUUCUAUUUGGAAACUUACAUCUAAACUCUAAACCAAGUAUAAAACACUCCAUUUCAACUUUAGUGAGAGCAGACGAUGACUCCCAUGUAGUAUGUAUCAGAGCUUUGGGUACCAUGACUUUCUGGGUCUUAAGUAAUGGAUUGGCUAUAUAUUGAUAGAGAGUGUUCUGAGUAGAGACAAGAAUAAAGCAAAAGAGAGGAAGUUAAUGCCUAAUUCAAACAUUUUAAAAGCCUAAUUAGCCAUUGAUCAUUUACCCAGUCUCUAUUUAUGAAUUUUCAGAUUAAAUUGUUUUUAUUUAUUUUGGGGGUGCUGGGGGUUGAACCCAGGGUCUGGCAUGUGCUAAGCAAACACUUUACUACCAAUCUACUUGAUAGCUCAUAUAAGUUCGCAUGUGAAAGACAAUAAGAAAUUUAGCUUUUUAUUUGUCUUACAUUUUUUAUACUAGAGUAUGAAGUCUUUGCUUUGUGCAAUGAUGGCCUUGUUCUUAUGGUUUUGUUUGUAUGUUUUCUUUUUUAUCUACUAAAAGAUAUACCUUAUUUUUUGUACAGUUGUUUCCCCUGCUGUAUUAUUUAAUAAAAUUUAUUCUUAAUCAAUACACAAAAACA
rnacentral:lncRNA from 1 species